CUGUAUAUCACCCUGGUCUCCAACUCACAGCGACGUGCCUGCCUCUGCCUCCCGGGUGCAGAUUAAAGUCUGCACCACCGCCACCUGACCUGGAAACCCAUUAUUAAGAAACCUCCCUGAUAGUGUUUCCUCGUGUGAAAUCUUAUGGUCCUCCUGCUUGAGUUUCCAUCCUAUGAUGCUCUCUUACACACGUUGAUUGUGGUUUUGAGUUCAAAACCUGCUCCCCAGAAGAGUAAGGGUUUCAGUGGCAGCAGCUGCAUCUGUGUUGUGUCCCUGACUGCUCAGUUCGCUGUUCAAAUCAACAAAGCUUCUCUGGUUAAAGAACAAUGACAACGACAACAACGUGGUGUGUUCCUGUUGUUGGAUUUUCACCAGACUCUCCGCACCAUUGCACACCAAUGUUUUGGGGCUUUGUCCAGGAUCCAGAGUCCUGGUACAGAAGUGCAACUUUUUGAAUUGGCAACUUCAGGGGAAACACAGGAGAGACACUCCAGGGUUUAAUUUCUCUCUUGGAGACUAUACCCAUCAGCCAACUUGGGAUGACUGUCAACAACUCCUGAGAUAUUCUUUUCCUCAGAGGCCUGGGAAUGCAUCUUCUGGGAAGCCAGGAAAUUGCUUUCUAGUGACAAUGGUCACCCUUCAUAUGCCCAGAUUGGGACCCUAAUGAGACAGCAGCCCAUGGUAACCUUGAAAGUGGAGGGAAAACCAAUCGACUUUCUGGUAGAUGUGGAAGCCAACUAUUCAGUGCUCAAGGAACCAAAGGGAUCCCUAGCCACAAGAUGCAGCCUGGUGCUAAACAAUAUCCCCAGUACAAGGAAAUGCCAUGUCUACCCCGAAAAAGAUGAUGUUACUCCAAUAUGCAGAUGACCUCAUCAGGGCAGCCAACAUGGACACCUGCACACUGGCCACUCAAGAGCUCCUAGAACCUCUCCAAUGCCUGAGAUACUGGAUGUGCACCAAGAAGGCCCAACUCUGCGACAGGCAUGCCACAUCCUUGGGAUUCCAUGAAGGGAGGAAGUCCUAGUUCAUGUCAUGUAAACAGGCAAUCUUGGGCUGGCGAGAUGGCUCAGUGUCUAAGAGUACUGAUUGCUCUUCGGAAGGUACUGAGUUCAAAUCCCAGCAACCACAUGGUGGUUCACAACCACCUAUAAUGAGAUCUGAUGUCCUCUUCUGUUGUGUCUGAACUCAGCUACAGUGUACUUAUGUUUAAUAAUAAAUAAAUCUUAAGCCAGAGUGAGCAAGGUUGACCAGAGCAAGCGGGGCCGCCUGGAGCUAGUAAAGGUCCUAAAAUUUUGAUCCCGAACAACCACAUGAAGGCCCACAACCAUCUGUACAGCUACAGUGUACUCACAUAAAAUAAAUAAAUCUUAAAAAAAAAAAAAAGCAGUCUUGAGAAUUCAAAUCCUAUCAACAAAAAGGCAAAUCAGGGAAUUUUGAGGGGUCAGCAGGAUACUGUAAGCUCUGGAUUCCUGGAUUGGCUGAAUUAGGCAGACCCUUUAUUUGAUGUCACCAAGAGGCCUAAUAAUACCUUUCAAUGGACUGAAGUUGGAGAUAAUGGCCUUCAGCAGAUUAAACAAGCCCUGACUUCUGAGCUAGUUAUAUCACUGUCUGACGUUAGAAAGUUUUCACACUGGUUUGUGGAUGAGAGGAGGAGGACCCCUAAGAGGUCCUUACUCAAACACUUGGCCAUAGCAGUGCCAGGAGCCUACCUUUCAAAAGAAUUAGACCCUGUGGCUAUCAGCUGGCCUGCCUGCCUGAGACUUAUUGCAGCCAUAGCUUUAUUGACAAAAGACUCAGAUAAAUUGACUUUUGGGCAGAACUUGAUCACUACCACUCCUCCUGUGGGGAAAACCCCAGUCAUGAGCCCCCUGUGAUCACUGGAUGACUGGUGCACAGUAGACUCAACAUCAGGCCCUCCUCUUGAACUAACCAAAAAUAACUUCUGACCAGUGGGCUACCUUCAACCUUGCUGCUCUGUUGUCUGACCCCAAGGGGAGUCCCUCUAUGAUUGUCACUAGCCCUCAAGCCUGCCAGAUAUCUGCUGAAUGGCAUUUAAGAUAUUUAUACUUACCGUGGCAGACAGAGGUCCAGAUCCUAGAAGUGACCCCCAACGUCUACGUGAAAAUAAUAGACAGAACCACAAACUCCCACUAGGUGGUAACUGACUGCUUCCUAUUUAGCCACAAGCUCAAGAAUUUGAAUUUCCUUCGGUUAUCUUCUAAGUAUAGACUUAAUGAUGCUUCUCAAUGGGCUGAAACAUCUCUGUCCAGUCUAUGUACCUGGCUCUCUGCAGAGGGAAAGAAAACGUUCAUGAUUUUUAACACAAAACUAUAGUCUUUGCUAAGACUCAGAGAUGGCAGUCGUCUACUCCUGCUCUUUUACAGACACCUUCGCUACUUUUUCUACGAUGUGGAUUUCGGGACAAUGGUAUUGUCAAUGUAUCUCCUCUUGUAAAGGAAAAAUUCAUGUAAGACUCAGGGUGUCAAAGAAGUCGUAAAACUUGGACCCGCCUGUCUCAGGUCAAAUGGAUUCCAGUUAUCUACAACCUGAGUCUCCUGAGAAUGGGAUUUCCCCUGGUCUUGGGAUUCCUCUCCUUCCCCAAUUACAAGGCAAAUUUUAUGUCUUUCCUAGUCUAUGUUUGUCUCAGAAGAUUUUCACUUGCUGACAGACUCCAUCCCGGGUCACCUGUGCACUGCAAACUGUUGAACUCUAGACUUGCUGAAAGCUGAUAUAAACCAGCCCAACCUAUGUGAUUGCUCCCUGUCUCUUCAGCUUGGCCAGCUUAUCAGAUGCUUCUGAGAAAUGUCCCAUUGCUCAGCCCUUGGGAGGCCUUUCAGCCUGCCUGGGCCCUGGCAUCAGUGCCCUAACGUGAGCUGGAAGUACUUACAGAGGAGAAUGGCAUCCCCUUGCCCCUUGGUCCUCUCCCUGCAACACCCUGCCCCCUUGCCCAACAGGCUGAAAUGGUAAGUUAAAAAAAAAAAUUAAAUAACUCCCUAACAUAGGGGACAAAAGUGGCUACCUGUAGGCCAAUUGAAAUACCAGAAAAGUGGGCCCACAUUUGUCAACAGGUAGAUUCAUUAAAUAAAACAGUUCUACUAUGUGAUAGGACACUUGACCCGUUUCAUGCAGAAAAAGAGAUAGCAUAUGGCUUUUAAAAAGUUGUUUCUGUACAAGACAUUAGGAAUUGUACUUUGACUGUACUCAAGAAACAGUAUAAAAAAGAGACUUGAGAUAAAGUAAAUGGGUCUGGAGAGAUGGCUCAGCCGUUAAAGGCUAGGCUCACAACCAAAAAUAUAAGAGAUAAAGUAAAUGACUGAUAGCCUGUCCUUCUAGACAGUAACUCUGAUGUCAGCCAUCCCAGGGCCUUUGGCCCUCCUGCUUGUUCUAGUUUACAAUGACUGAUACAAUAAUUAAAUGAUAAUUCCUUUCUGGA